rnacentral:rRNA from 1 species
GUGGGGAAUCUUGCGCAAUGGGCGAAAGCCUGACGCAGCCAUGCCGCGUGAAUGAUGAAGGUCUUAGGAUUGUAAAAUUCUUUCACCGGGGACGAUAAUGACGGUACCCGGAGAAGAAGCCCCGGCUAACUUCGUGCCAGCAGCCGCGGUAAUACGAAGGGGGCUAGCGUUGCUCGGAAUUACUGGGCGUAAAGGGCGCGUAGGCGGAUCGUUAAGUCAGAGGUGAAAUCCCAGGGCUCAACCCUGGAACUGCCUUUGAUACUGGCGAUCUUGAGUAUGAGAGAGGUAUGUGGAACUCCGAGUGUAGAGGUGAAAUUCGUAGAUAUUCGGAAGAACACCAGUGGCGAAGGCGACAUACUGGCUCAUUACUGACGCUGAGGCGCGAAAGCGUGGGGAGCAAACAGGAUUAGAAACCCUAGUAGUCC